UAUGCUAGACUUAUUGGGGAACGGGAAAACAAGAAAUAAAGAAAAUUCAUGAAAAUCCUAAAAAAUUGAAGUGUCUUGUUAAUCACAUGACUAGAACUCGAUUAAACAUGCAUUGAUAAGGAAAGAGCAUAGUGUAUGAGGUGAAUGAUAUGUAUGGGGAAAGCAUGUAGGAGGAAAGUAUGCAGAAAGGUAUAUGUGUAUAGGGAAAAUAUGUGAAUGUGGAAAGUGUUUAAGAAGGAAAGUAUGAGGUAUGUAGUGUAUGGAAAGUGAUGUAAAGGAAAACUACUACAUUUUUUAUCAAAUGCAACGAUAAAAAAUAAGCUUAUGUGACGACCUUUUUUUUUUUUUUUUUUUUUUUUUCACCGUUGUAUUAGAUAAGCCUAAUGCAACGGCUUGUAUUUCUAUACUCCAAAAAGUAGGGCUAAUGCGACGGUUGUAAUCAACCUUUGCAUCUGAUGUGCUAAUACAACGGCUGGAUGGGCUAAGCAACGACAAUGAUUUUGAAUAUAAAAAGCGCCUAAAUUUUUUUGAUUCCUGCUUAUUGUUUUCCAAAAUUUAAAACCUUUCACAUCCUAGUUUAAUUUAAUAAAAAAAAAAUUAAAUAUAGAAAAAGAAAAGUUGAAGAGUACACGGGAAGAAAAAUAAACCAAACAAAAUCCUUUCUUUUCUAACCUCAUGCUGCUCCAAUAAAGAGAAAUAGUUUAGGAAGUGUGGGUAAAUUAAUCAAAUGCAGGCUUCAUAAAUUGCUUCAUAAAUUAUUCCCACCCAAUUGCUUCUCCAAUUUUCACAAAUGAACUUAAUUUCAAUUGGAAGGCAGGACAUGGCAAGGGUUCGCUUAGGCUACGAUGAACGGCGGUGCUUAGGCAACGACGAACGGUUGCACUCAUGCCUUGGUAAACGACAAUUCUCAUCAAGCGAGAAUACGAUGACAACUCUCUCUUCGGCUACAAAACAUCUCUCUCUAGCUUCAAGAUAGAUUUUGGUUUUUGCCAUAUAUGUUGUAGCAGCCAAACAAAUGUUGAAAAUAUUGUAUUUGAGAAACAUGAUUUAGCUUUGAUAAGUUUUUUUUCCUUAGUUAUUUUAUUAAGUGAUAUUUGAUUUUGUAACUUUCAUUAAGGGAAAUAAUGUACAAACCUCCAAUUUAUAUUAAUGAAAUUGUGAUUUAAUAACAA